rnacentral:rRNA from 1 species
GACGAACGCUGGCGGCGUGCUUAACACAUGCAAGUCGAACGGAAAGGCCCUGCUUUUGUGGGGUGCUCGAGUGGCGAACGGGUGAGUACCACGUGAGUAACCUGCCCUUGACUUUGGGAUAACUUCAGGAAACUGGGGCUAAUACCGGAUAGGAGCUCCUGCUGCAUGGUGGUGGUUGGAAAGUUUCGGCGGUUGGGGAUGGACUCGCGGCUUAUCAGCUUGUUGGUGGGGUAGUGGCUUACCAAGGCUUUGACGGGUAGCCGGCCUGAGAGGGUGACCGGCGACAUUGGGACUGAGAUACGGCCCAGACUCCUACGGGAGGCAGCAGUGGGGAAUAUUGCACAAUGGGCGGAAGCCUGAUGCAGCAACGCCGCGUGCGGGAUGACGGCCUUCGGGUUGUAAACCGCUUUCGCCUGUGACGAAGCGUGAGUGACGGUAAUGGGUAAAGAAGCACCGGCUAACUACGUG